rnacentral:rRNA from 1 species
CCUACGGGAGGCAGCAGUGGGGAAUCUUGCACAAUGGGGGCAACCCUGAUGCAGCGAUGCCGCGUGAGUGAAGAAGGCCUUUGGGUUGUAAAACUCUUUCGUCGGGGAAGAAAAUGACUGUACCCGAAUAAGAAGGUCCGGCUAACUUCGUGCCAGCAGCCGCGGUAAUACGAAGGGACCUAGCGUAGUUCGGAAUUACUGGGCUUAAAGAGUUCGUAGGUGGUUAAAAAAGUUGAUGGUGAAAUCCCAAGGCUCAACCUUGGAACUGCCAUCAAAACUUUUUAGCUAGAGUAUGAUAGAGGGAAGUGGAAUUUCUAGUGUAGAGGUGAAAUUCGUAGAUAUUAGAAAGAACAUCAAAUGCGAAGGCAACUUUCUGGAUCAUUACUGACACUGAGGAACGAAAGCAUGGGUAGCGAAGAGGAUUAGAUACCCUCGUAGUCCAUGCCGUAAACGAUGUGUGCUAGACGUUGGAAACUUAGUUUUCAGUGUCGCAGAGAAAUCAUUAAGCACACCGCCUGGGGAGUACGACCGCAAGGUUAAAACUCAAAGGAAUUGACGGGG